rnacentral:rRNA from 1 species
GACGAACGCUGGCGGCGUGCUUAACACAUGCCAGUCGAACGGAAAGGCCCUGUUUUUUGGCGCUGGCGGGGUGAACGAGGGGGGAGUAAGAGGUGAAUAUCCUCCUCUUUUUUUGGUAAUAUCAUCAAGCAGGUGGUCAUACUGCAGGAUAGCAGCUGCUGCUGGGUGGUGGGGGGUGGGUCGUUUCGGCGGGGGGUGGUGGACUCGCGGCUUAUCUGCUUGUUGGUGGGGUGGUGGACGACCAAGGCUUGGGCGGGUCGCCGGCCUGGGAGGGUGACCGGCCACAUUGGGACUGAGAUACGGCCCAGACGCCUACGGGAGGCAGCAGGGGGGAAUAUUGCACAAUGGGCGGAAGCCUGAUGCAGCAACGCCGCGUGCGGGAUGACGGCCUUCGGGUUGUAAACCGCUUUCGCCUGUGACGAAGCGUGAGUGACGGUAAUGGGUAAAGAAGCACCGGCUAACUACGUG